rnacentral:rRNA from 1 species
UGGCUCAGGACGAACGCUGGCGGCGUGCCUAAUACAUGCAAGUCGAACAGCUUUCUAUGGAAGCUUGCUUCCACUGAGAAGAUAGUGGCGAACGGGUGAGUAACACGUGGGUAACCUGCCCAUAAGAGGGGGAUAACAUCCGGAAACGGGUGCUAAUACCGCAUAGUUUUCUUGAUCGCAUGAUUGAGAAAGGAAAGACGGCCUUUGUGCUGUCGCUUAUGGAUGGACCCGCGGCGUAUUAGUUAGUUGGUGAGGUAACGGCUCACCAAGACGAUGAUACGUAGCCGACCUGAGAGGGUGAUCGGCCACAUUGGGACUGAGACACGGCCCAAACUCCUACGGGAGGCAGCAGUAGGGAAUCUUCCGCAAUGGACGAAAGUCUGACGGAGCAACGCCGCGUGAGUGAAAGAAGGUUUUCGGAUCGUAAAACUCUGUUGUCAGAGAAGAACAAGUUGGAGAGUAACUGCUCCAGCCUUGACGGUAUCUGACCAGAAAGCCACGGCUAACUACGUGCCAGCCGCCGC